rnacentral:rRNA from 1 species
UACGGAGGGAGCUAGCGUUGUUCGGAAUUACUGGGCGUAAAGCGCACGUAGGCGGUUUUGUAAGUUAGAGGUGAAAGCCCGGGGCUCAACCCCGGAAUUGCCUUUAAGACUGCAUCGCUUGAAUCCGGGAGAGGUGAGUGGAAUUCCGAGUGUAGAGGUGAAAUUCGUAGAUAUUCGGAAGAACACCAGUGGCGAAGGCGACUCACUGGACACGUAUUGACGCUGAGGUGCGAAAGCGUGGGGAGCAAACAGG